AAAGUCGUAACAAGGUUUCCGUAGGUGAACCUGCGGAAGGAUCAUUACCGAGUUCAUGCCCUCGCGGGUAGACCUCCCACCCUUUGUGUACCUACCCUGUUGCUUUGGCGGGCUGCUCACCCCUCGGGGCUGAGCCCCAGCGCCCUCGGGCCUGGGAGCCGCCCGCCGGAGGCUACCAAACCCUCUCUUAGUGUCGUCUGAGUCGCAUAUAAUAUUAAAACUUUCAACAACGGAUCUCUUGGCUCUG
rnacentral:misc_RNA from 1 species